rnacentral:lncRNA from 1 species
AAGAGUUCAGGGAUAGAAAGUUCAAACACAGUUUUUAUACUGGUUCGACCAAAUUGCCUACAUCUAGUGCCCUUCCUGUACCUGGAAGCAAAUGCACUAUAAUGGUCAAUGUUUUAAUAACAAGGUUUCUAUAGAGACCUCCAUGUCAAAAUAUCAAACACUUCUCUAACCCUCUAACCAAAAUAUAGGCAUACAACACCCAAAGAACAACAACAAGAUAUCCCCU